UAUUCAAGAUAGUGAAGUCCAAAGCAAACUGCGAAGAGCUACAAAGGAUUCUCACAAAACUGGGUGACUGGGCAACAAAAUGGCAGAUGACAUUCAGUGUGGAUAAAUGCAAAAGAAUGCACAUUAUAUGAGCUUGGGAAACCCAUGCGUGCAGUUCAGCGAUGUGCUUUGUACGGAGAGGAAACAUAAGCAGGAAGUAGAAUGGACCACAAAAGCAGAACUGCAGUGGGUCUGGGGGUCUUUAUAGAUCCUGCCCAACAUGUGCUUUAGAGGUGGAAUUCAGAAUCCCAGAUCCCAGUUGCUCAGCUGAGCCCUUAUGGCUCUAAAUAAAAAGGGCAAAACCUUAGGGCAUUCGAAGUUAGUGUCUGAAUUUUGCACUUCUCUGUAUCUAGACCACACAUAACUCCCUAUCACUCUGUACUGCCCAAACAGGGACAGCAACAGCCGUUAUCAGAGGAAGCAGAGCACUAGGGUGACAGCUUCUUCCUGUGAAAACCAUAAUACUUUGUAAGGCUGCUUCUGUAAGAAGUUUGUACCGUGAAUCAUGAGGAUCCACAUUUCUAAAGCAGACGGAAAUGAAGCCAAGUGAGAGUUCCAGUAAAUGUAACCUGUAGGGUUACAGCAGCGCACCUGCCAUUUGAGAGUCCGGCAUUUGUACAUGCAUGAGGAGAAAUGCAUGAAGGAGCAGUUCCCAUGCAAACCAUGUAGCUCUCAGAAAGAAACAUUGGAUAAGUUAGGAACUCUGCAUGCCUGUGAUGCAAGUGACCUAGAUUGUCCCGUUAAUUCUCAGUAAGUUAUACCGAAUGAGGCUCAACAGCAGCCUCUGCUGGUCUUCUGUUAAAGUGUACUUGGACCAUUAUCACCCAAAGCAGGGCACACCAUGAAAGCUACCUCAGAAGCUUGGACCAUUGUACCAAAUCUGACUUGGAUUCUUUACCGCCAAGAAUAGUAGAUGACAGUAUUUGCUAACCAAGUGUUAUUGGCCCACUAACUCUUUCAGCAACCUAAAAAAAAAAAAUUACACCCUUUUGCACUCAGGAAAAUC